rnacentral:rRNA from 1 species
GAUGAACGCUGGCGGCGUGCCUAAUACAUGCAAGUCGAACGAACAGACGAGGAGCUUGCUCCUCUGACGUUAGCGGCGGACGGGUGAGUAACACGUGGAUAACCUACCUAUAAGACUGGGAUAACUUCGGGAAACCGGAGCUAAUACCGGAUAAUAUAUUGAACCGCAUGGUUCAAUAGUGAAAGACGGUUUUGCUGUCACUUAUAGAUGGAUCCGCGCCGCAUUAGCUAGUUGGUAAGGUAACGGCUUACCAAGGCAACGAUGCGUAGCCGACCUGAGAGGGUGAUCGGCCACACUGGAACUGAGACACGGUCCAGACUCCUACGGGAGGCAGCAGUAGGGAAUCUUCCGCAAUGGGCGAAAGCCUGACGGAGCAACGCCGCGUGAGUGAUGAAGGUCUUCGGAUCGUAAAACUCUGUUAUGAGGGAAGAACAAAUGUGUAAGUAACUAUGCACGUCUUGACGGUACCUAAUCAGAAAGCCACGGCUAACUACGUG